UGGUCGAUGAUGAUUUCAAUAAAACAUUCAUGGAAAAAGUGAACAAAAUGGUGAAAACUCAAUACACUAUCAUGUUGACUGAGGUCC